AGAGUUUGAUCAUGGCUCAGGACGAACGCUGGCGGCGUGCUUAACACAUGCAAGUCGAACGGCGACGGUGGAGCUUGCUCUGCCUGAUCAGUGGCGAACGGGUGAGUAACACGUGAGUAACCUGCCCCUCACUCUGGGAUAACAUCGGGAAACCGGUGCUAAUACUGGAUAUGAGAUGCCUCCGCAUGGAGAGUGUCUGGAAAGAUUUAUCGGUGGGGGAUGGACUCGCGGCCUAUCAGCUUGUUGGUGGGGUAAUGGCCCACCAAGGCGACGACGGGUAGCCGGCCUGAGAGGGCGACCGGCCACACUGGGACUGAGACACGGCCCAGACUCCUACGGGAGGCAGCAGUGGGGAAUAUUGCACAAUGGGCGAAAGCCUGAUGCAGCGACGCCGCGUGGGGGAUGAAGGCCUUCGGGUUGUAAACCACUUUCAGCAGGGAAGAAGCGAAAGUGACGGUACCUGCAGAAGAAGCGCCGGCUAACUACGUGCCAGCAGCCGCGGUAAUACGUAGGGCGCAAGCGUUGUCCGGAAUUAUUGGGCGUAAAGAGCUCGUAG
rnacentral:rRNA from 1 species